GCCCCUGCAUGGAGUAUCCAAUAAAGGUUGGAGCCCAUCCCUUAGCCAAACCACGAAAUCCAUCUUCUUUGAUUGUCACUGAAAAUCCAUUGAAGAUGCUCUUGUAUUUUUGUGGAUCAACCUGCAUUCUGCAUUUAACCAGGUCUAGAGGAACCAGUGCUGUAUGUGUUGUUCCACAGCUAAUAAUCCCACCGAAACCACAGAGCAUAAAGAAUCUGCCCGAGCCAUACUCACAGCUGUAUUCUUCGGUGGCGGACGCGGCCGCCAGGCUUCGCCGCGUGGUGGGCGCUUCGGCCGGCUCCGCGCGCCUCCUCAGCCCAUCCUGGCACAGCUGGAAGUGCGGCGCGUAGAAGGGGUUGAGCCGCGCGAGCGGCGCGAUGGACGAGAACAUGGCGACCUCCUAAGAUGGCGGCGGGCGCGCAGCGCUGCUCGGGCCGCAGCUGUGCGCAGAGGCUGACCGCGGGCCCGGCGCGGUGACUUUGUCCUUCGCCGACGCAAGGGGCGGAGCCACGGGCCAAGAAGCCGCGAGGCGAUUGGCGGAGGCUCCCCGCGAGCCGGUGCCGCCGCGCACGCGCGGUCCACGCCAACGCCCUUCCUUCUCGCCGUGGGGGAGGGGGGCGGCUGUCGCUGAGCGGAGGGCGGAGUUCCCCGCCUCGUACGGAGCGCCGCGAGGUUGCGUAUGUCUCACUUGGAAAAAAAAGUACAGGCGAGAAAAGAGCCGUGGCUCCUGUGCGUGUGACCGCUGCCCUGGAAAAGUUCCUCCCUGUGGGAAAGCAGCCGUACCUCUGUCGCCGCCGCCCUCAGCCGUGCGCCGAGCGGCUCUUCCCGCUCCGCGGCUGCGGGCUCCUCCGCGUGCCUGCACGCAGCCCCAAGCGAUGGCAACCGAAAGGCACGCCCAGCUCCGCCCGUGACAGGCGCCAGAAGCAUUACCUGCGUGACCGCAGCCUGCAGGCUGGGGCCGGGCGCUACUUGUUCCAGGCCAAGUGCAAUUUCUGCUUUUAAGCGUGCGCUGCUUUCAGGCGAAGUUCGAAGAAGUGAUUGGUAGUGCUCUGAAUUGCAUCUCUUGUUAAAUAGCAUUGCUACUUGCUCUUUGCCAAGAGGCUUCGCUCAGCAGCACAGCUUUGUACCUCCUUCAGUAACACAGACACAGCAGACAGCAAAGCAGAAGGCAUGCACUGAAUGUCCUAUGUUAGAAAAGGGCUCAGAGCAGUUACACAACUAACAGCACACCUAUUCAGCAAUGCAGAAGAAAUGUAUCUUCAUAGAAUCAUAGAAUUACUCAGGUUAGAAAGGACCUCAAAGAUCAUCAAGUCCAACCGCAGCCUAACCAUAGUACCCUAACUCUAACAACCCUCUGCUAAAUCGUAUCUCUGAGCACUACAUCCAAA
rnacentral:lncRNA from 1 species